UUAAAACAAUAUAAGAUUGUUUCCUUGGUUUUCAAAAUCAUGACUUAAUAUAAAAUGAUAAUUAAUGCUAAUUCGGUUCAAUUUUUGGAGAACAAAGACAGUGAAUUUCAAAAAAAUGAGAACGAUGGUACAAAUGAAAAAAAUGUGAGGAUAUAUGCAGAUGGCAUAUAUGACCUAUUACAUUUAGGUCAUAUGAAACAACUUCAACAAGCGAAACACUUAGAAAAAAAAAGUUACAUUAAUUGUUGGGGUUUGUAGUGAUAUAGAUACUAGAAAAUUCAAAGGACAGAUAGUACAAACAUUAGAAGAAAGAACUGAAACGUUAAAACAUAUUAGAUGGGUUGAUGAAAUCAUUUCACCUUGUCCAUGGGUAAUAACACCAGAAUUUGUUGAAAAAAUAUAACAUAGAUUAUGUAGCUCAUGAUGAUAUACCAUAUGCUAGUAAUCAAAAAAAUUCUAAUAAAAAAAAAAAAAAAAUAAUAAAAAUAAUUCA
rnacentral:lncRNA from 1 species